ACGUAGGAGGAGAGCGUUAUUCGGAUUUACUGGGCGUAAAGCGCGUGCAGGCGGCUCGAUAAGUUGGAUGUGAAAGCUCCCGGCUUAACUGGGAGAGGUCGUUCAAUACUGUCGGGCUAGAGGAUGAGAGAGGGAGGUGGAAUUCCGAGUGUAGUGGGGGAAGUCGUAGAUAUUCGGAGGAACACCAGUGGCGAAAGCGGCCUCCUGGCUCAUAUCCUACGCUCAGACGCGAAAGUUAGUGUAUCAAACGG
rnacentral:rRNA from 1 species